rnacentral:rRNA from 1 species
UACGGAGGAUGCAAGCGUUAUCCGGAAUGAUUGGGCGUAAGCGUCCGCAGGUGGCUGUGUAAGUCUGCUGUUAAAGAGUCAUGCUCAACAUGAUAAGAGCAGUGGAAACUACACGGCUAGAGUGCGUUCGGGGCAGAGGGAAUUCCUGGUGUAGCGGUGAAAUGCGUAGAGAUCAGGAAGAACACCGGUGGCGAAAGCGCUCUGCUAGGCCGCAACUGACACUGAGGGACGAAAGCUAGGGGAGCGAACAGG